AGGCGUAUCUUCUCCUUCACAGUUCGCUGGCUGCUGUCAGCUGUGUUUGCUAUGGGAGCUCGACAGCAAAGGAAGAAGGGAAGGAAYGGAGGAGAAAAUCUCAGGAGACCCUCAUCCGUGAACCCCGUGCUCUCCAGGAGUAUCGACUUUGCAUUGAGCUGAAUGAAGCGAGCCUCAUCAGAAGGAGACCUAAUUCUGGAUACCCUCAGGAUGAAUAUUUUAGCCGAGCCCUUCUUUCUGAAUGAGGAUGAUGGCAGGCGGCUCCGACUCCRCGGGACGCUUGGGCGAGUGCCGGCCCUGAAACACAUGUGCUCCCACCGCCGGCGCGACGCCGCCAGAAAUCCCUGUGUCAGUCCUUUCCCAAACUAGACCCGAGCUGUUUGGGUCGCGCAUUGGUUUCUCGGCGAUACUGCAGCAGCGCCGGCGGGAGGAAACUCAUGACGGCCGGUAACCUCGCGUCGGGCGCUCGGUAAAAGAUUCCAGUUAGGAAAUUGUCUCCUUCGGGUUUUGCUUGCAGCGAGUUCACGUCAGCCUCUCGCUGUUUCCUUUCUGCUGUGUACAACUAAUAAAAACAAGACGUUUGUCCA
rnacentral:lncRNA from 1 species